UGUCAGUCCGGAGCAAGCGAGCGAGCUAGAGGCUGUUGGACGGCUGGAGCGGAGCAAUGCCUAAAUCAAAGGAACUUGUUUCUUCGAGCUCUUCAGGCAGUGAUUCUGACAGCGAAGUUGAAAAAAAGUUAAAGAGGAAAAAGCAAGUUGUUCCAGAGAAACCUGUGAAGAAGCAAAAGCCUGGUGAGAGUUCUAGAGCACUGGCAUCCUCCAAGCAGAGUAGCAGCAGCAGAGAUGAUAACAUGUUCCAGAUUGGAAAGAUGAGAUAUGUCAGUGUUCGGGACUUUAAAGGAAAAAUUCUAAUUGAUAUUAGAGAAUAUUGGAUGGACUCAGAAGGUGAAAUGAAACCAGGGAGAAAAGGUAUUUCUUUAAACAUGGAACAAUGGAGCCAGCUGAAGGAACAGAUCUCUGACAUAGAUGACGCAGUAAGAAAGCUGUAAAGUCUGAGCCAUAUCAAGCCUGUACUGUCGUAGCUGUUUUACUCUGUCUUUUCACAUUGGCUUUUGUUUUCUAAAUGUUGUUUUCCACGCUGUUGUAUAUUUGGAUUGCAGAACAAUUUGUAAGACAAAUACUUUUUUUUAAUGUGCAUUAUUAAAAUGUUCUAAGUGAAGCUAAUUGUCAACUUUAUUAAAGAGGAUUGCUUUGUGCCCCUUACCUAGUGUAAAAUAAAGUCAGAUCAUUACAAUCUUAACUGUGGUAGCCUUUUUUGAUAAAAAAAAAUAAACUAGUUACUGUUUAAGGCCCAAAAAACAACCUUUGUAGGCACGUUGUUGAGUCAGCUUACAUUCAGAAGGAUGUAUUACAUUGAGCUCUUAGAUUGCUUUGUGAAAUGUAUACUCAGUCUCUUUCCAACCUGAUUUGCUGAAUUUUCCUCUCCAGGACUUCUCCCUACCACAAUCCUUUUUUUCUUCAGUUUUCUUAGUAUUCACUUUUCCAUCACUCUCUACUCAGAUAUAUUAUGCUGAUUUGGAAAGUCAAGCUGUCCAUGUUGUUGCCUCCAAAGUCUACUGUGUUAAUUAUUAGCAGAUUAUCUGUUUAGUAACAUGGCUUAAAUGGGAACUCCAAGCAAGUGUGUGUCAUUAUUCAUAGUGCGCUGUGGAGAUGUUACUUAGUCUACAGAACAUAGUGACUGAUGUCUGAUGAACCGUCUCUCGGUAAACCUUUGUGCUGGGAUGGUGGUUAUAAAAUCAGAUAUUAAACUAGAUUAGACUUGUAAAAAUCGUGACACUUACUGGCCUCCUAUUCUAACAAAGAGUGUGGAUUAUAUGUAGUCAGACAUGUCACUGAGCUUUACUGUCAUGGUAGGUUACAUGGCUAGUUUUUAUAGAGUCGGCUGUUUUACAGUCUGGACAAGAGACUUCCAGAUUUGAUGUUUAAAUUUGAUAGACAUUUUCAUGAGUUUUCAUUUUAACCAGGAUGAUUAAACAGACAGGCACAUGUGUUAGGGCUAUUGCUCCAGUGAAAAGGAAGGGCAUAGUGUUCUGAGGGAAAGUGUUUGCAAAGGAAAAAUCACACUGAAGGGAGUUAGCCUGUGAUGUGAAAGGAACUUUCUUGAAACUAAAUGCACAUGGUAUGUUGGCGAUAACAGUAAGAUGGGUCUAGGUAGAAUAAUAACUAACAAGGAUGGUUUAUACAUGUGAAAAAUGCUACCACUAAGGGCUGCCAUAUCAGAAUUGCCCUAUCUUAUUAAUCAGUUUAAUUCCCAUCGUCUUAAGCAUUUUAUGGAAUUGUCAAGGAUUUAAUUUAAAAAAUAAUCUGUCAGGCCUCAUGUGGUUAACUUAUCCUCCUUACAGACAUUCUUUAGGUAACUUUUUAGUGCGUUACUCCAAAUUGACAUAUUAAAAAAAAGAGAGAACCUAAGUGUUUAAGAUAUAUAUACCAUAGCUCAUUCCUGAGGGAUGCUACCCUUAUAAUUUGUUGUAUUUCAUUGAUUAAUUAUUUACCAUUUAAAGAAAGGAUAGUUAGAACAUAAAACUUUGGUUUUGGUAUCGAUGAGGAGGGAAUAAUAGACAAAUUUUCUAGGCUGUGAAUUCAGAGGGCGUAUGUGCAUUUCAGCUGUCUGCUUCAUGGAGACCCGCAGAGACCUGUCAUCUGUUACCUAGGCUGCUUAGCAUAGUAAAACCUCCACUUGGAAAGCUUUUUCUGGCAUAAUUUGUUAGACUGAUAGCUAAAUUCAUUCACUAAUGUUACACCAGAGUUACUAAUCUUUUUCUUUGUGUGUGUUGAAAAGGAGAAUUAGGUUAAAAGGGGCUUUUCAGACGAAAAGAAAGGCUAGAGUCCUUCUAUUUUGCAUUCAGAUGCCUUUCUCCUUAGUGUCUUAGUUUCUUUUCUCUUGCUGUGAUGAAGUGCCCUGAUGAAAGCAGCUUAAGGGAGAAGGGGUUUAUUCUUAAUCGCAGUUCCAGGUUACAGUCCAUUGUUGCAUGGAGUCAAAAACAACUACAGGACUCCAGACAUCCGGACACACGGCUCCAUGGCCAGGAAACCGAGAGCAGUGGUUGCAUGCUCAGUUCCCUCUCCUUUUCAUUUAACCUGACUUAGCCUGUGAGCUGGUCCUGUCCGCAGUAGGCAAGAGUUCUCCACACAUGCCUAGAGGCCUAUCUUCAGGUGGUUCUAGGUUUAGUUGAAUGGAUAACACUAUCAUAGUAAGUUUUCUCCCAGGAAGAAGGCUUGACAUUUUGAGGUAUAAGUAUCUUAUUUUGUAAUGCUAAAAUGAUUAGAUCUGCUCUCAGGUUUGCCCUUUAAUACGCCCCAUAGCAAGGCCUCCAAAUGGGUUUUCCUCUUAGAGUAAAAGCCUUUAGCCAAUUUCCACAAUCACUGGAAAAGAAAAACUUGUAUUUUCUUUUGUUUUGCGUCACAAAUGCCUAAAAUCUUGGGAAAUACUACCUCAUUAACCUAGUCAAGAUGCUGGUGAUAACCAGUCUAUUCUGCGUAGUAUCUUAGAAUCAGCAACUUAGGGAAAACCAAGGAGGAAAAUGUGUCCUGACCUGGCUACAAAGGGAGGAGGGGAUUGAACGUUUAUGUAAGUGUUCCGGACAGGAAUGUUAGCACAGAGCUUGCCACAAAGCUUGAAAGUCUUAACUGUUGAGUUAUAUUUAGGUAUCUUUUUUGGAUUUCUCUGCAGUUCAUAUUUUAUGGAAAUUAAUGUAGUGAAACACUAAAGAUCUCUUUUUUUUCCUUAAGGCAUUUUUUUUCCAGAUAAACUAUAAUGUAAACAUGCAUAUAGUGAAACGUGUGUAAUUCUGUAAUUGUGGAAUGCCUGUAUGCUUUGUUUGGUACAUCUUCCAUGGGGGUGUCAAUGAACCUAUUAUUCCACUUGUGAAUAUUUUAAAUGUUGAAAUAAAAACAAGAAAUAGA
rnacentral:lncRNA from 1 species